rnacentral:rRNA from 1 species
UGCAGUCGAGCGGAACGAUGUAGCUUGCUACAGGCGUCGAGCGGCGGACGGGUGAGUAACGCGUAGGAACCUACCUAGUAGUUUGGGAUAGCCCAGAGAAAUUUGGAUUAAUACCGAAUACGCCCCACGGGGGAAAGCGGAGGAUCUUCGGACUUCGCGCUAUUAGAUGGGCCUGCGUAAGAUUAGCUUGUUGGUGAGGUAAUGGCUCACCAAGGCAACGAUCUUUAGCUGGUUUGAGAGGAUGAUCAGCCACACUGGGACUGAGACACGGCCCAGACUCCUACGGGAGGCAGCAGUGGGGAAUAUUGCACAAUGGGCGAAAGCCUGAUGCAGCCAUACCGCGUGUGUGAAGAAGGCUCUAGGGUUGUAAAGCACUUUCAGUAGGGAGGAAAGGUUGUAGAUUAAUACUCUGCAGCUGUGACGUUACCUACAGAAGAAGGACCGGCUAACUCCGUGCCAGCAGCCGCGGUAAUACGGAGGGUCCGAGCGUUAAUCGGAAUUACUGGGCGUAAAGCGUACGUAGGUGGUUUGUUAAGUUGGAUGUGAAAGCCCAGGGCUCAACCUUGGAACUGCAUUCAAAACUGAUGAACUA